rnacentral:rRNA from 1 species
UACGUAGGGGGCGAGCGUUGUCCGGAAUUAUUGGGCGUAAAGAGCGUGUAGGCGGUUCGGUAAGUCUGCCGUGAAAACCUGGGGCUCAACCCCGGGCGUGCGGUGGAUACUGCCGGGCUAGAGGGUGGUAGAGGCGAGUGGAAUUCCCGGUGUAGCGGCGAAAUGCGCAGAUAUCGGGAGGAACACCAGUAGCGAAGGCGGCUCGCUGGGCCAUUCCUGACGCUGAGACGCGAAAGCUAGGGGAGCGAACAGG